rnacentral:rRNA from 1 species
GACGAACGCUGGCGGCGUGCUUAACACAUGCAAGUCGAGCGGUAAGGCCCUUUCGGGGGUACGACGAGCGGCGAACGGGUGAGUAACACGUGGGUGACCUGCCUCAGCUCUGGGAUAAGCCUGGGAAACCGGGUCGUAAUACUGGUAUACGACUCCAUGACGCAUGUUGUGGGGUGGAAAGCCUUGUGCGGCUGAGGAUGGGGCCCGCGGGCCUAUCAGCUUGUUGGUGGGGUGAUGGCCUACCAAGGCGACGACGGGUAGCCGGCCUGAGAGGGCGACCGGCC